CAGUAGCCGCGGUAAUACCAGCAGCCCAAGUGGUGGUCGCGAUUAUUGGGCCUAAAGCGCUCGUAGCCGGGCCGGUAAGUCCCUUGUGAGAUCGGACGGCCUAACCGUUCGGCGUGCAAGGGAUACUGUCGGUCUUGAGGCCGGGAGACGUCCGAGGUACUCCGGGGGUAGCGGUGAAAUGUUCUGAUCCUCGGGGGACCACCGGUGGCGAAGGCGUUCGACGAGAACGGGCCUGACGGUGAGGGGCGAAGGCUAGGGGAGCAAACGGGAUUAGAUACCCCUGUAGUCCCUGUCUCUUAUA
rnacentral:rRNA from 1 species